rnacentral:rRNA from 1 species
AUGCACGCUGGCGGCGUGCCUCAUACAUGCAAGUCGCGCGCACGGACGAGAAGCUUGCUUUUCUGAUGUUAGCGGCGGACGGGUGAGUAACACGUGGAUAACCUACCUAUAAGACUGGGAUAACUUCGGGAAACCGGAGCUAAUACCGGAUAAUAUUUUGAACCGCAUGGUUCAAAAGUGAAAGACGGUCUUGCUGUCACUUAUAGAUGGAUCCGCGCUGCAUUAGCUAGUUGGUAAGGUAACGGCUUACCAAGGCAACGAUGCAUAGCCGACCUGAGAGGGUGAUCGGCCACACUGGAACUGAGACACGGUCCAGACUCCUACGGGAGGCAGCAGUAGGGAAUCUUCCGCAAUGGGCGAAAGCCUGACGGAGCAACGCCGCGUGAGUGAUGAAGGUCUUCGGAUCGUAAAACUCUGUUAUUAGGGAAGAACAUAUGUGUAAGUAACUGUGCACAUCUUGACGGUACCUAAUCAGAAAGCCACGGCUAACUACGUG